CCUGGCUCACGAUGAACGCUAGCUACAGGCUUAACACAUGCAAGUCGAGGGGCAGCAUGGUCUUAGCUUGCUAAGGCCGAUGGCGACCGGCGCACGGGUGAGUAACGCGUAUCCAACCUGCCUUACACUCUUGGACAGCCUUCUGAAAGGGAGAUUAAUACAAGAUGUUAUCAUGAGUAAGCAUUUUCGCAUGAUUAAAGGUUUACCGGUGUAAGAUGGGGAUGCGUUCCAUUAGAUAGUAGGCGGGGUAACGGCCCACCUAGUCUUCGAUGGAUAGGGGUUCUGAGAGGAAGGUCCCCCACAUUGGAACUGAGACACGGUCCAAACUCCUACGGGAGGCAGCAGUGAGGAAUAUUGGUCAAUGGACGAGAGUCUGAACCAGCCAAGUAGCGUGAAGGAUGAAGGUUCUAUGGAUUGUAAACUUCUUUUAUACGGGAAUAAACGAAUCCACGUGUGGAUUUUUGCAUGUACCGUAUGAAUAAGGAUCGGCUAACUCCGUGCCAGCAGCCGCGGUAAUACGGAGGAUCCGAGCGUUAUCCGGAUUUAUUGGGUUUAAAGGGAGCGUAGAUGGGUUGUUAAGUCAGUUGUGAAAGUUUGCGGCUCAACCGUAAAAUUGCAAUUGAUACUGGCAGUCUUGAGUACAGUUGAGGUAGGCGGAAUUCGUGGUGUAGCGGUGAAAUGCUUAGAUAUCACGAAGAACUCCGAUUGCGAAGGCAGCUUACUAACCUGUAACUGACAUUGAUGCUCGAAAGUGUGGGUAUCAAACAGGAUUAGAUACCCUGGUAGUCCACACGGUAAACGAUGAAUACUCGCUGUAGGCGAUAUACAGUCUGCGGCCAAGCGAAAGCAUUAAGUAUUCCACCUGGGGAGUACGCCGGCAACGGUGAAACUCAAAGGAAUUGACGGGGGCCCGCACAAGCGGAGGAACAUGUGGUUUAAUUCGAUGAUACGCGAGGAACCUUACCCGGGCUUAAAUUGCAACCGAAUAUGGCGGAAACGCUAUAGCUAGCAAUAGCGGUUGUGAAGGUGCUGCAUGGUUGUCGUCAGCUCGUGCCGUGAGGUGUCGGCUUAAGUGCCAUAACGAGCGCAACCCUUGCCGAUAGUUACUAACAGGUUAUGCUGAGGACUCUGUCGGGACUGCCAUCGUAAGAUGUGAGGAAGGUGGGGAUGACGUCAAAUCAGCACGGCCCUUACGUCCGGGGCUACACACGUGUUACAAUGGGGGGUACAGAGGGCUGCUACCACGCAAGUGGAUGCCAAUCCCAAAAACCUCUCUCAGUUCGGAUUGAAGUCUGCAACCCGACUUCAUGAAGCUGGAUUCGCUAGUAAUCGCGCAUCAGCCACGGCGCGGUGAAUACGUUCCCGGGCCUUGUACACACCGCCCG
rnacentral:rRNA from 1 species